rnacentral:lncRNA from 1 species
UUUUUGAAGAAGGAGAGUAUGAUGUGGUCAUCAGACAAGAGGCUGAACCAGAGUUCCAUCAAACAUCACACUUAUGGUCCGACCAGGACACAUGUGCCUUUCAAGGAGCAUACAACAAAGGAGUUAUUCAACUUACAAAUCGGGUGAUCUCCAACUUACCCGAUUUUGACAUGCGUGUUUUAAUUAGAGGUUUCCGACCCAACCAGGAGGAAUUAAGCUUUAAACCGACUUGUUCUAGAAUCUUGGUUCAUCAUAUAAUCCAGGAGAGUUGGAAUCAUACCGAUAUCAGUUUUGG